ACACUUAAGUACUGAUCAUAUUCACUUCACUAAGACAAGAAACUUGAAAGCAAACUUGCAAGUGUAUUGUUUAUUCAGUUAUAUGGGCCUUGUUAGAUAUGUAAUGUUGGGCCUAUCUCAGAUGAUGCCUAACCCUAAAACCCAACUGAGACGAUUCUCUAAUGCUGUCGUUUUGGGAGAGCCGAAAGUUUACGCCGUCAGAAAGAAGAAGCUAUCCAGUUUAAUUCGGUUUGGUUCGUAGGCAGGCUGAUUGAUUCUUUUAGGGAACAGACAUCGAGACUGCGGAACCUAACUGAGUUUUGAGAACGAGUCGCGGCCGAGGCUGAGUCAACUCGGUCAACUAAUGGUUUGCCAUACAACUAGUUCUUAAGAAGGAUGUUAUCACAACUUCACAAGAUAGGUGUAAUGAUGUUCGUUCUGGUAGACUUGCUU